UUAAAAUGUUUUGAAUUUCUUGAUAAUUAUCAAUAUCGAUCAACGUGAUUUCUAUUUUAUCAAUAUGCUUUUUUUCUCCUAUAUCGUCCAGCCCUAGUUUAGCCUCCUUCCAUGAUCCAAAAACAUCAAGCCCGUUAGGCUAAUUGAUCUGUCUAAACUACCCUUAGACCUCAGGAGAUUGCAGCAACCCCCUAAACCCACCAAGGAAUAAAUAAAAAGAAGAGAAAUCUGGCACCUUAAGAAGCGUCAGCUGCUGCUUGCGACCUGCGAACGCAUUAAGAUGCAGGCUGACGGCGUCCAGGAAGGCCCUCAUGCCUGUCUGCAAGUCGCUCUGCUCGGCAAGGUUGCUCAGAGGGAUGAAGGGGGGGAUGUUGUGGCCUCGGAUCCUCACUUUUGGCUUCAGGUCGACCUCCAGGUUGUAGGUCUCCAAAUAUACGCCCUCAUACGCGGUCGGCAAAGAGAAGCACAGGCCUUUACCUUGCCGGGUUUUGAUGACGUCAUAACCACCUGGUGACAUCAGCGGAUCGAGUCCACAAAAAGGAGAUUCACAAAUGAAUAACGGCAGCAGCUAUGAAACAGAGAUAAGCCAUCACAAACGACCGUGGUUACCGAUGAGGCGAUGAGCCUGAAGGAGGUCCGUCAGCUCAGAGUGUCUGGCCAUCAGGCGCCACAACUCCGAGCUUUCCGACUCCGCGUCCAUUUCCUCCUCUUGCCGCUGCAAGUCUUCAGGUGCCCUGAGUUUCUGGAGAUUCUGGGAGAGGGGGAGGUAAACAUAGACUAAAUAUUAUUUAUCCAAGGACACCAGGGCUUAACUCAAAGGUCAAGACUCCUGGAGUUCAGACUUUAAUACUUGGUUCAACUCUCACUGAAUAAGGUCUUUUAAACAGUAUUUUACAGCUAGAAAUAACAACUAAAGAUGAUUUAUGGCUGAAGUAGACAAAAAAAAAA